ACAUCUCUCCCCAAGAGGCCCGCUUACCUAUUACAACAGCUAAAGGAUUUUUAUCUUCCGUAAGGUUAUCGAUAGAGAAAAUGACAGAAAACAACAACACGAAAGACCCGGUUACUGGGUUAACGGAAGAGGAAGUGAUUGCAGUCGAAGACAGCUGGAGCAUGCUCUAUCGCAGAGAGCACCGGAAGGAGAACGGCGUCAAACUCUUUAUGAAUUUGUAUUCACUUCAUCCAGCAACAAUAGAGAAAUUCCCACUGUUCAAGGGUAAAACACUAGAGGAAAUUUCUAAACAUCCGAAACUUCCAGCGCAUGCGAUGUCCGUCAUGUACGCCUUGGCCUCGUACAUUGAUAACUUACACGAUACCGAUCUUCUAGUGGAGCUCGUCAAGAAAACAGCGGUCAGCCAUAUUGGACGUGGAGUGGGCUCGGAAUACUUUAAGUUCCGGCGUGGAUGAAAGAGGUUCUGGAGGAGGAAUGCACCCCCUUAAUGCUGUCCUCCUGGGGAAAACUUCUCGGUAUUGUCGUGGCAGUAGUGAGCGGGGAGGAGCAAAACAUGACGUCAUAAUGGUUCCUGUGACGCGUUUCCGUCGUAAAAAAAGGGUAUAAAAACUUGGCACAAAUUCAGGGAUCCUGAACCUCAGGAUAUGUCCGUAUCUAUUAAAAGUAACACGCGUUUGAUUUGAAACUUCUGAGAGUUCCACGUGUUCAUUUGAUUGUACAUGUACAUAGAUAUAAACAUGUCAGUAUGAUAUGUAAUCAUCGUUCUAUACAUAUUUCUGUAUAAUAGUCUAGUGAUGACUUAUUCAUUUGCCUGUGUUGUACUACUGUAUAUUGAUUUACAAGGUAUUUGAAUGGGAAGAGUAUUCUACGUAUUUCUUUGACGCAUUAAUAUGUAUCUCUUCACCUGAUAACCAGUCUUGAACAAUACGUCAUUAUCUAUAAUAUGACAUGUCUUGCAUCAAAUUUCCACCAACAUUAUAUCAUUUUUAAGAAAGUAUUUCAGAACUCGUUGUUGUUUUUAAUUUUUGUUAUGUUAUGUGUCUUUAGUUUUUGAGUGUAUAUCAGUUUUUGUAGAUUGAACGAUGAAUUGAGUUUUAUAUAAUGAUAAACUUCCAGUCUUGUUAACCAAGUGUAGACUGGUUUACUGUACAUUUACGAGUAAUAAACGUAUAAUG
rnacentral:misc_RNA from 1 species